UGGAACUCAAAUUUCAGUUUCUCCA
rnacentral:piRNA from 1 species